rnacentral:tRNA from 1 species
CAAAUUUUAGCUUAUGAAAGUUUUUUAUUUACAUUAAAAAGAAUCUGUUUAAUUCAGAAUAAUUUGA